rnacentral:rRNA from 1 species
CAAGUCGAGCGGUAACAGAUCUAGCUUGCUAGAUGCUGACGAGCGGCGGACGGGUGAGUAAUGCAUAGGAAUCUGCCCGAUAGUGGGGGAUAACCUGGGGAAACCCAGGCUAAUACCGCAUACGUCCUACGGGAGAAAGGGGGCUUCGGCUCCCGCUAUUGGAUGAGCCUAUGUCGGAUUAGCUAGUUGGUAAGGUAAUGGCUUACCAAGGCAACGAUCCGUAGCUGGUCUGAGAGGAUGAUCAGCCACAUCGGGACUGAGACACGGCCCGAACUCCUACGGGAGGCAGCAGUGGGGAAUAUUGGACAAUGGGGGCAACCCUGAUCCAGCCAUGCCGCGUGUGUGAAGAAGGCCCUCGGGUUGUAAAGCACUUUCAGCGAGGAAGAACGCCUGGCGGUUAAUACCCGCUAGGAAAGACAUCACUCGCAGAAGAAGCACCGGCUAACUCCGUGCCAGCAGCCGCGGUAAUACGGAGGGUGCAAGCGUUAAUCGGAAUUACUGGGCGUAAAGCGCGCGUAGGUGGCUUGAUAAGCCGGUUGUGAAAGCCCCGGGCUCAACCUGGGAACGGCAUCCGGAACUGUCAGGCUAGAGUGCAGGAGAGGAAGGUAGAAUUCCCGGUGUAGCGGUGAAAUGCGUAGAGAUCGGGAGGAAUACCAGUGGCGAAGGCGGCCUUCUGGACUGACACUGACACUGAGGUGCGAAAGCGUGGGUAGCAAACAGGAUUAGAUACCCUGGUAGUCCACGCCGUAAACGAUGUCGACCAGCCGUUGGGUGCCUAGAGCACUUUGUGGCGAAGUUAACGCGAUAAGUCGACCGCCUGGGGAGUACGGCCGCAAGGUUAAAACUCAAAUGAAUUGACGGGGGCCCGCACAAGCGGUGGAGCAUGUGGUUUAAUUCGAUGCAACGCGAAGAACCUUACCUACCCUUGACAUCUACAGAAGCCGGAAGAGAUUCUGGUGUGCCUUCGGGAACUGUAAGACAGGUGCUGCAUGGCUGUCGUCAGCUCGUGUUGUUGAAAUGUUGGGUUAAGUCUCGUAACGAGCGCAACCCUUGUCCUUAUUUGCCAGCACGUAAUGGUGGGAACUCUAAGGAAACUGCCGGUGACAAACCGG